CUCCUCUGAUGUGUCUUUCGAGCUGAUUCGCCUCUCUCUCAAUUGUCUUUUUCAUCUGCAUUGACUCUGCUUACCUCAAGCUUUUCUUCUACGACAAUACUUUGAUUUUCUGUGGCAGAUAAUAUAUAUGGAAAUGUAUACGCAUUGUACAUUUCUUAGUAAAGGCUGAAGUGACAGCAAAGAUUAUAAACUGGGAUUGAAACAGUUCAGGGGACGACGGACGAGGCAGCACAUCCACAGGGCGCCAGAGCAACGCCGUGAAGACGACCUUCCGAUGCCAGCGUGGAGAGGCGGCUGGAGACGGAGGAGGCAGGGUGCCAUCGCCGCCAUCCCAGGCUCCUCUCACCGUCGCUCACAGCGGGACAGCCGGAUGUCGCUGUUGUGAUGUGACUCAAGGGCACAGCGCAUCCCAUGGAGGGCGGCUACACCAAGCCCUCCCCACGAUCUCCUAAAGCCUUUAGACGAAGCUCGCCGUUUCCAGAUAACGCCGGAGGUGGAGCAGGCAGAGCACCCGCACCAACCAGCCGCCGAGGUGUCCUGCGGAACGGGCGGCCUGUGCUCCUCGGCAGGCGGGCGGCACCGACGAGGACUCUGCUUGCUCACGUGGCAGCCCAGGGCCACGUGUGGCUCUCCACGGGUUCUGCCUUCAACACACCUGCUGCCCAGGACAAGUGUUAUGUCAGUUCAGGUCUGGGCAGUAACUGAGUCAAAAUAAAGAGAAUUGGAAGGACGGGCACCACAGACCGACGGAAGCGGGCAGCAGCGAAGAACCAGCACCGGUGACACGGCUGUGCCCUGCGUGUGCGGCCACAUGAGGAAGAGGCAGAAGGGUCUGCGCCGUGGAAACAUGGGAUCUUUUCUUUUUUGAUACGCAGAGUCUUAUUCUAUCACCCAGGCUGAGUGCGGUGGCGUGACUCGGCUCAGUGCAGCCUCCACCUCCCGGGUUCAAGCAGUUCUGCCUCAGCCUCCGAAGUAGCUGGGAUUACAGGUGCACACCACACCCAGAUAAUUUUUGUAUUUUUUUUUUUUUUUAGUAGAGAUGGGGUUUCACUGUGUUGUUCAGGCUGGUCUCGAACUCCUGACCUCAGGUGAUUUGCCCACCUCAGCCUCCCAGAGUGCUGGGAUUACAGGUGUGAGCCCGCACCCGGCCUAGAAGCAUGGCCUUUCCGGGUGGUCAUUUUGCCUCUAUUUUCUGUGACUUCUGUAAUAAGAGAAGGGUUGCUUUACACAUAAAAGUACGAUAGGGAAUUCUGAAAGCACUGAUGGUGCGACCCUAUUUCUCGGCCCUUCUAGGUCUUCACUAAGACCUUAACGGUGUUAUUUUGGUCCUCAAUUCAUUUCCUGAGAUCUGCAGACUCUCUCUUCAUAUCACUUUAUUUUAUUCUCUUAUUUUAAAUUCUUAUUUUUAUUGAACUUAGGUUAUAAUUAUGUUGUUUUACUAUGAAAAAAUAAUGAAAAACUUCCUUUGGUCGAGAAUUAGGUUUCCUGUGUUUCUGUCUUCCGCCGGUAUUUUGCACGCGUUCUCUCUCCCCCUCCCUCUCUCUUCUCGUCUCUCUCUGUCUCUCCCUCUAUCUCUUCUCGUCUCUCCCUGUCUCCCUCCGUCUCUCCCUCUCUCUCUCCCCCCACUCCCCUGUAGAGUGUCCAGGUGACCGUGACCGUGACAUUGCGAGUAUAGUUUCCCGGACGUCCCCUCUGCUCUGGUGUCACGUGGGUGGCUCUGGACUCCUGCCUCUGGGCACUGGCCACAGCCCGGUCUCCGUCUGCGGGCGUGGGGACCGAGGGAGCUGCGGUGUGCCCCCGAAAGCGUCGCCACCUCUGCCUCAUUUCUUACCAGACCUGGUCUGUGGAGAUUGGAAGGCAUCUUCCCUUCAGGUGCGUCCCUCUCCCGCCCUUUCCCCCUUUCUUCCUGGUGGUUCCUGGAUGGCUGGGGCUGCUUCCUGAGGCCAGUGAUGGCGUCCGGCAGAGGCCUCGGCUGUGAUGGCCUGAAGCCAUGCGGGAGGUCUGCAGGGUCGCUGUGACCUUCCUGCUGUGAGCAGAGACCCUCUGGGGCCUGUGAUAAAACCCACAGAAUGUUGCCGGAGUCAGGCUCAGCAGCUCUGGGGAGGGGCCUGGGGCUCUGCAUUCCUGGGGGCUCUGGGGUGAUGCGAACGCAGCUGGUCUGAGCCCACACUCUGAGGAGCCACCGUUUCAUCAGGUUUCAGCUACGUGCAGCUGGGUGUCACCCCUGCCCAAGGGCUGGGCUCUCGGUCUCCGAAACAGGGUGAAUUUCCUGCAGGUUUCAUUUCUAGAAAUUGGAGGGGUGUCCCUCACUCCCUGGGGAGGCCCUGGGGCUGGGCUCUGUGCAGAGUCCUGGAGCCUUCACACUGCAAAGAGAGCUGACUCCAGCAUCCCUGUCCCCAUUGCCAGAGAGACUCGACCCCAGCACCCACCUCCCCGCUGCCAGAGACAGCCGACCUCAGUGCCCACCUCCCCGCUGCCAGAGACAGCCGACCUCAGCGCCCACCUCCCCGCUGCCAGAGACAGCCGACCUCAGCGCCCACCUCCCCGCUGCCAGAGACAGCAGACCCGAGCACCCACCUCCCCGCUGCCAGAGACAGCCGACCUCAGCACCCACAUCCCCGCUGCCAGAGACAGCCGACCUCAGCGCCAGUGUCCUCAGCUCUGGUUGUCCUGGCGCGGGUUCCUCAGCCUCAGGCAGACAGAGCGGGAGAAGGAGGCCUCUGGGGUUUGCUCCUCUGAGACUGUGAACAUUACUGAGAGUGCCAGGAUUUCAGUAACUCACAGUCUUUCUCUGAAAAAUAAUGUAUUUUCAUGUCACAGAGACGAUGAUAAUCCAGAGGCCAUUGCUCUGGGCUGCUGAUGUGAACAGUCGUGGUGGAUCUGCCUCUGAGCACGUGCGAUGCACCACGACACUCAACUUCUCCCACAUACGUUUCCUCGGGGCUGAGCCCACGCUGCAGGGAGGGGCCCUCUAGGCUGGGUGGGUGGGGGAGAGCAGGCAUUGGCCUCACCCUUGGGACAGGGCCUCCCUGAGGGGGAAGGCUCAGCCCCAGGGCAUGGCACAACCCCUGCAGGUGAGGAGGAAAUCUAAUACAGCAGCUCGCCUGCAUUCCGUCGGUCACUCUGUCCCCCAGGCUCUCCCUGCGGCAUCUCUGCUGUUUGUUCCCCCAGCCAGGGUCCACGGAGCACCUGCCGUGGCCACGCCCUGGGCCGGGAGUUCCAACCUGGAGUCACGUCUAGGGUCCCUGGCGGAGGACGAGACACACCUGAGGGACGGGACAGAGCUGUCUGGUGGAGGCUGCAGCCAACCAGCCCCAGACCAGAUAACUGAGCAGAGGGAGCCUCCAACCUCCGUCCUCUGCUGGCAUUGGGCAGCAGCCACGGGGGCCACAGGGCCUCCUUGGAAGACUGACGCCGCCUCUGGUCACUCAGCUCCUGCCCGGCGGGGGGAGGACGUUACCGCUCAGUUCCGUUACCUCCAAAGCAGAAGGAUGAGCUCCCGUUUUACCUGUGAGGAAACUCAUUUGAUUUUAAAUGAUUUUCAGCCUGGAAGUUGGUGAAUUUUAGGAGGCUCUUAAAUAAAUUGCCUCGAAAUAAAGAUGAGCUUCUGGUUUACAGCAAAACUGUAUCGGUCCUGACUGGAACUUUUGCAGAGAUUUGGUUGCGGGAUGCUGGGCCUGGCCCGGCAGAGCAGAGACCACAGUGCGCCCGGCGUUAAAAAUGGGGUUUGGCCGGGCGCGGUGGCUCAAGCCUGUCAUCCCAGCAC